AAAGGGGGUAAGUGAUAUGUCAAUGUCACAGUUAUGUCAAUGUCAUGGUAACUGGCCAAGCACAGAAUCAGUGCAUUUCCUGAUGUCCUGAUUAUGUCCUGUAGUCCUAGUCUUUCAAAUUUUUGGUGUGCCUUCUUUCUCAUUUUUCUAACUCAUUUAUGAUCCUUACUUUAAACAUUUGCUAACCUUCAUCUGUGCUUUUUCAGUAUUAAAAUAUAAUUAUGCUCGUUAACUACAAGUAUAUUUUCCAUGGCACCAGUAUAAUAAAAAGCGACUUGGAUACAGCUUUUCAUUUCCUUUUUGCAUGAUUAGCUCAAGUUAUCAUUGUUGAUAUUGUUUAAUUCCCUCACUCCCCAAAAGACUAACUAGCUAAAAGAAACUGCAAACUGUUUCUAAAUACUCUGCAAAAUAUCUAGGAUGGAUAUUUUUCUUUUGUAAAUAGCUUUUAAGCUUUGAAACAACAGGAGAGAUGCAGAGUAAAAAAUACAUAGCCUUAGAGAAGGGAAAAAGUGAAGAUCAUCACAACGAAGAAAUAAUAAAGGUGUAAAUAGUGUGUGUGGGGUGAGACGGGGUGGGGGGUGGGGAGGGUGUAGGGCGAGGAGGAGGGGUUGGAAAGAACUAAAAAGGUUCCCAGUAAGUGGGGCCGUUAACUAGACUAUAAUCAAAUCAAAGUCAUGAGGGUGGGGGUAGGGGCAGGAGUUCGAUUUCUAUUUCUCCCGAUUUCACCUAUAGUGGUGAGUGAUCAUUAAUCAAGGCCUGUAAUAAGUUUUUCCAUCUAAAACUGAACUGUCUGAGGAGUAACAACUGACACCAUUUUUCUCCAAAGGGUGAGGAAGAUAAUAAAUGGAAAUCUCUCGACAAAAAUUCUCUUUAUAUCUCUGCCCUAUUUUAAGAGCAAGAUUUUUAGGGCAUAAUUUUCAACAAGUUUUGGCGGAGGCUGAACACAAAGCUCAAACAUAAUUUAGGACACUAAGAGACGAAGCCAAUUACUUUGUCUCAUUGUAGUUAAUGGCCUAAACGCGCCACGGUCACUUAACGAGGUAAUAAACAAAAUGACUACUAGAAAUACUUCCCUGUUCGCAAAGCAGUGCUGCGUGAUCUUCAAUGAAAUGCGCUGCAUCUACCCUUAAAGGGGCUGCAGACACACUGAGCAGAACAGACUGCCUGCCUUCAUGAGUCGUCUACUUUGGGCUGUCAAUAUUAUGUGACUGUGUUCUGCCCAAAGACGCCUAGCUGAGGAGUUGAAUGGGGGAGGAAUUCUGGGUAGAGUGAAAUAGGAAACAAGAUUGCCUGCUGAGAGUAAGAAUGAAGAAGAAAGGAAAUUUGGGAAAAGAGAAAAAGGCAUGAAAAAUGGGACAAAUAGAAAGCACAUAAUCAGAAAGUGUAAAUAUAUCUAAAUACACAACUGUGUAUGGAGUAAACUUUCCAGUCAGAAGGCAAAAAUUUAAGACUAGAUUGAAACAAAUAUUUAUACUAUUUACAAGAGUCAGAGGUAAAACACAAGAACACAGAACAACUAAAAAUCAAAAAUUCAAAAGAGAAUUUACCAGGCAAAUAUCGAGUAAAAGAAAUAUGACCUAAAUAUAUUACUACCAGACAAAAUGACUUUAAGAAAGACAUUCCAUCAUGAUAAAAUAUUUAGUUCACCAAGAAGAUAAAAUAAUUCUAAAUCUGUAUGCCUCUAAUAAUAUAGCCUUGAAACAUAAUAUGACAGAACCAUGAGGAGAUUUUUAAAAACCUACCCCACAGUAAGCAAUUUUAAUACAUUUUUUUGAGAAAUUGAAUCUCUAAUUAAAAUCUUUCCAUAAAGUAAAAACAAACAACAAACAAAGUCAGGCUCAGGAGGUUUUAAUGGCCAGUAAUUCAAACAUUCAAAGAAUAGACCAGUCCAAAUUAACACAAACUAUUUUGGAAAACAGAACGAGAAAGAAUGAUUCUCAAUUCAUUUGAUGAAUAUAACCUUGAAACCAAAAUUAGACAAAAAUAAUAUACUUUCGUUUUUUAAUAUCAAUGCAAAAAGAUGAACAAACUGAAUCAAGCAAUUUCGAAAAAAGAUAAUACAUCAUGGUUAAGUUUAUUAUAAGACUGGUAGGUGGUUUAACAUUAGAAAAUAUAUUAAUAAAUAUAAUUCACUAUAGUAACAGUUCAAAGGAGAAAAUUUUGUGAUCAUCUCAGCAGAUGCAGAAAAAGCAUCCUGCAUAUCUCUAUUCAUGAAAAAAACUCUUAGUAAACUGAGAAUAAAAGGGAAUUUUUUUAACCUGCUAUCAGGUCUGCACAAAAACCCUGCAGCAUUUCCCAAAGUAAUGUUGGAAGCAUAUCUUUAAAUAAGGAACAGGACAAAGAUGUUUGCUAUCACCAUCACUGUUCAAAAUCGUACCUAUCGUCCUAGCUCAUGUAAUAAGGAAAGAAGAAGAGAUAGGUAUAAUGGUUAAAAAGGAGGAAACAAAAUAGUCAUUGUUUGUAAAUAAAAUGACUAUGUAGAAAACUCAAGAGUCUACAGAUAAAGUAUGGGAUUUAAUAAGAGAAUUUAGCAAGAUUAUUAGAUAAAAACAUUAAUAUACAAAAGUUACUUAUAUAUCUAUAUGCCAGUAAUAAGCAGUUAAUCAUAUGGAAAAAAGGUAUUAAAGAAUAUCCAAAUGAACAUAAAGAUCUUCAAUAAUCUUGGAUAGAGGCACUGAAAAAUACUAGUCACCUUGUAAAAAAGAUAUUUGCUUUAUGUGUAAGCAAGUGAUUACUAUCCAAAAAUAAAAGCUAUACAAAUUAGAAAGGGCUGUAGCCAGCUCUAAUAAAGAAAAGCACUUAGGAGUCUCUGAGAUACCAAUAUUUUAUUUUUUAAGCUGGAUGUCUGCUACA